rnacentral:sRNA from 1 species
GAUAUCACGCUGUCGUGCAGGUGAGAAGCUGCGUUCAGGUUCGAGUCGAGCGGAGCGAGACAACAGCCCAUCAUCUCUUAUGGCAUGUAGAUUUUUGUUAUAUCNUCGAAUCCUGCACGACCCACCA